rnacentral:lncRNA from 1 species
UUCUUUCUUUCUUUAAUUUGACAGAUCACAAGUAGGCAGAGAGGAGGCAGCAGGCUCCCCACUGAGCAGAGAACCUGAUGCUGGGCUCGAUCCCAGGACCCUGAAAUCAUGACCCGAGCCAAAGGCAAAGGCUUUAACCCACUGAGCCACCCAGAGAACACAAACAGGGGAAGUGUCAGGAUGAGGGAGAGGGAGAAGCAGGCUGCCCACCGAGCAGGGAGCCCAACGUGGGGCUCAAUCCAAGGACCCUGGCAUCAUCACUCAAGCCGAAGGCAGACUCUCAACCGACUGAGUCACUCAGGUCACCCAAACAACUGCAUUUUUAUGAUAUUCCCCAAAUCAUUUUUUGAAGCAUAUGUCAGUCUACGAAAUAUUUAAAGGAUUGUGAGUAUGCAAGGAGCUGUUGUGGGAAAUUGAGAAGAGUUAGAGAAGCACGAGAAGACAUAACCCUGGGUCAUAUAGCGCCACGUGGCCAUGAAACAGAGUUUCCCUGUGAAGCCCUGGCCAAUGUUGUUGAGAGGGAUACUGAAAGCAUAAAUGUAAAAAGGAAAACAACAGAAGACAGGAGAAAAUACACAUUAAAUUUUUCCCAGUCACAAGGUAGAGACUUUGUAAACAUAUAAGCAAAGGAAGGAAACAGUAUGGCCAGGUUUGACUUCAUGAAUGUUAAAUAUUUCAGUAUGUCAAAAAAAAAAAAAAAAAAAACCACAACAUACACACAUAAAAAAGUUAGAAUAGGCAAUUCCCAAAGAAAAUAAAAUUGUCUAUAUAUGAAAAAAUGUGUGUUAAAUCAUAUUAAAAAUGCUUUUUUUUUUUUUUAAAGGAGGGACUGCACUCAACAUGGGGCUCAAACAACCCCAAGAUUAAAAAUUAUGUGCUCUACCAACUGAGCCAACCAGGUGCACCUAAAAAUGUGAUUUUUAUUUUUAUUAUUUCUUAAAUGACUUUUGAAAAAAAUCCACAUAUAACUGAGAUCAUGCAGUACUUGUUUUUCUCUGACUUAUUUCACUUGGCUCAGUGCCUGCAAUUCCACUUUUUUUUUCAAGAUUUUGUUGAGAGAGAGAGAGAGCACACACAGGAGUUGGGGAAGGGGCAGAGGGAGAAGGAGAAGCAGACUCCUUGCUGAGCAGGAAGCCCAACUCUGGGCUCGAUCUGCACUGUGAGAUAUCGACUUGAGCCAAAGGCAGACUCUUAACCACCCAGGUGCCCUCUGAAAUGGCACUUUUAACUCCUCAAAUUGGCAACUACUUUCUACCAAAAUAUAUGGUAAUGCUGUGGCAUAGAGAAUAGGGAAUAAGCAAAGCCACCUGUUAGUAGAAUGCGUUUGGUACAAUUUUUCUGAAAUGCAUUUGGAAGAAUAUAUCAAAAAGAAAAUACUCCUACCCUUCGAAAUCAAUUCUGCUUCUAGGAACGUCUCUUU